rnacentral:rRNA from 1 species
UAGGGAAUCUUCCACAAUGGACGCAAGUCUGAUGGAGCAACGCCGCGUGAGUGAAGAAGGUUUUCGGAUCGUAAAGCUCUGUUGUUGGUGAAGAAGGAUAGAGGCAGUAACUGGUCUUUAUUUGACGGUAAUCAACCAGAAAGUCACGGCUAACUACGUGCCAGCAGCCGCGGUAAUACGUAGGUGGCAAGCGUUGUUCGGUUUUAUUGGGCGUAAAGCGAGCGCAGGCGGAAUGAUAAGUAUGAUGUGAAAGCCCACGGCUCAACCGUGGAACUCCAUCGGAAACUGUCAUUCUUGAGUGCAGAAGAGGAGAGUGGAAUUCCAUGUGUAGCGGUGGAAUGCGUAGAUAUAUGGAAGAACACCAGUGGCGAAGGCGGCUCUCUGGUCUGCAACUGACGCUGAGGCUCGAAAGCAUGGGUAGCGAACAGG